rnacentral:rRNA from 1 species
UACAGAGGUCCCAAGCGUUGUUCGGAUUCACUGGGCGUAAAGGGUGCGUAGGCGGUCGGGUAAGUCUGAUGUGAAAUCUCACAGCUUAACUGUGAAACUGCAUUGGAUACUAUUCGGCUUGAGAGUUGGAGGGGGGACUGGAAUUCUUGGUGUAGCAGUGAAAUGCGUAGAUAUCAAGAGGAACACCGGUGGCGAAGGCGGCGACCUGGUCCUUGACUGACGCUGAGGCGCGAAAGCGUGGGGAGCAAACAGG